rnacentral:tRNA from 1 species
GGGGGUAUAACUCAGUGGUAGAGUGGCUGAUUGCAGUACAAGACUAACAUCAGCAAGUCGGGUGUUCGACCCACUCUGCUCCCU